rnacentral:rRNA from 1 species
GACGUAGGGGGCGAGCGUUGUCCGGAUUUAUUGGGCGUAAAGCGCGCGUAGGCGGCCGCGCAAGUCGGAUGUGAAAACCCGGGGCUCAACCCCGGGCGUGCAUUCGAUACUGCGCGGCUCGAGACAGGUAGGGGAGAUCGGAAUUCCUGGUGUAGCGGCGAAAUGCGCAGAUAUCAGGAGGAACACCGGUGGCGAAGGCGGAUCUCUGGGCCUGUUCUGACGCUGAGGCGCGAAAGCUAGGGGAGCGAACAGG